AGAGUUUGAUCCUGGCUCAGGAUGAACGCUGGCGGCGUGCUUAAUACAUGCAAGUCGAACGGAAAGUGUAGCAAUAUACUUUUAGUGGCGAACGGGUGAGUAACACGUUGGUGACCUACCUCGAAGUGUGGGAUAACAGCUCGAAAGGGCUGCUAAUACCGCAUGUGGUCAUGUUGAUUAGAUGCUUCAUGAAUAAAGGAGUAAUCCGCUUCGGGAGGGGCCUGCGUCCCAUCAGCUAGUUGGUAGGGUAAUGGCCUACCAAGGCAACGACGGGUAGGGGACCUGAGAGGGUGACCCCCCACACUGGCACUGAAACACGGGCCAGGCACCUACGGGUGGCAGCAGUAGGGAAUAUUGCACAAUGGGCGAAAGCCUGAUGCAGCAACGCCGCGUGCGCGAUGAAGGUCUUCGGAUCGUAAAGCGCUUUUAGGGGAGAUGAGGAAGGACAGUAUCCCCAGAAUAAGUCUCGGCUAACUACGUGCCAGCAGCCGCGGUAAAACGUAGGAGGCAAGCGUUAUCCGAAUUUACUGGGCGUAAAGCGCGUGCAGGCGGUUCGGUAAGUUGGAUGUGAAAUCUCCCGGCUCAACUGGGAGAGGUCGUUCAAUACUGUCGGACUAGAGGGUAGUAGAGGAAGGCGGAAUUCCCGGUGUAGUGGUGAAAUGCGUAGAUAUCGGGAGGAACACCUGUGGCGAAAGCGGCCUUCUGGACUAUUCCUAACGCUAAGACGCGAAAGCUAGGGGAGCAAACGGGAUUAGACACUCCGGUAGUCCUAGCUGUAAACGAUGUGGACUGGGCGUCGGUGGGGUAAAAGCCAUCGGUGCCGUAGCUAACGCGGUAAGUCCACCGCCUGGGGACUACGGCCGCAAGGUUAAAACUCAAAGGAAUUGACGGGUCCCCGCACAAGCAGCGGAGCGUGUGGUUUAAUUCGUUGCUACGCGAAAAACCUUACCCAGGUUUGACAUAUAGGUGGUAGGGAUCAGAAAUGUGACCGACCCUUCGGGGAGCCUAUACAGGUGCUGCAUGGCUGUCGUCAGCUCGUGUCGUGAGAUGUCCGGUUAAGUCCGGCAACGAGCGCAACCCUCGCUGUAUGUUAUACGUGUCAUACAGGACUGCCGAUAUAAAGUCGGAGGAAGGUGAGGAUGACGUCAAGUCAGCAUGGCCUUUAUAUCUGGGGCUACACACAUGCUACAAUGGCCAGUACAAUGGGUUGCAAAGCCGCGAGGUAGAGCCAAUCCCCAAAGCUGGUCUCAGUUCAGAUUGUAGGCUGCAACUCGCCUACAUGAAGCCGGAGUUGCUAGUAACCGCGCGUCAGCAUUAGUGCGGUGAAUACGUUCCCGGGGAUUGUACACACCGCCCUCACGUCAUGGGAGCUGACAACACCUGAAGCCGGUAUCCUAACCGCAAGGAGUGAGCUGUCGAAGGAGGGGUUGGUGACUGGGACGAAGUCGUAACAAGGUA
rnacentral:rRNA from 1 species